rnacentral:rRNA from 1 species
GUCUUUUAAUUGAAGUCUAGCAUGAAUGGUUAGAUGAAAAGUUUGCUUUCUUUAUUUUAUAAAUAAAAUUUAAUUUUUAGAUUAAAAAGUCUAAAUUUAUUUAAGGGACGAGAAGACCCUUUAGAGCUUAACUUCCCCCAAAAUUAUUUUCUUUAGGAGAUAAUUUUUUAUUCUUUUAGGGGAAGUUUUAUUGGGGUGAUAAAAAAAACUUUAUAACUUUUUUUAUUUAUUUCACUAUCAGUGUAUUUUUGACCCUUUAUUAUGGUUAAUAAGAUUAAGCUACCUAAGGGAUAACAGCGUUAUUAUUUUGGAUAGUUCUUAUUGAUAAAAUAGUUUGCGACCUCGAUGUUGGAUUAAAAUUAGUGUCAGGGGUAGAAUAUUGAUGACUAGGUCUGUUCGACCUUUAAAUUUUUACA